UCCUCAAGCCUCCAUUUUGCAGCUCUGAUGCAAGAGGCCAAUAGCGUAGAUGGCAGCUACAUUGUGACGACAGCAUAGGAAUACAGCGCUGCUGAGAACAAGGCUGCGAUGAAGACUUCUGUGACUUGAUUCCAAGAUAGCUGCUGGCAGGAGAAUGUGGAUCAUUUCGUGUCUACAGAUACUGAACAGUUAAUCAGUAGGGUGAAGUGACAAGUUACUGAUACACCUUAAUCCAAAAGAGAAUCUAUCUUCCUCUAGAUAUACAUCUCUGUGCAGAGGGGUGAAGUCCAAAAGAAUGAGAGGUGCAAAAAUAUAUCAAUGUAUAUAUUCACUCACAACUACCUGGCUAAUAGUUUAAGUGAGACGUGCUCCAUGUCACAUAUAUCCAGUUUUUACAUCUGAAGACUUAACUGGGUUUCAGGAACCCAGUGAAUUAACAAAAUCAACAGUGAGGAAAGAUUGAAAGAUUUUCUCAAUCAUUUUUAAGUAAGUGACCACAUUUUGAACCCGGACUGAGAAGGCUCCAGAGACAGCUUUAUAAGAAGCUCUGAGUAAUCAAAAAGGAAUCCGUACUAAAAGAAGGAAAGAACGAAAUGGAGACUUCUAACCAAGAGGAUGGCUGAGCUUCCGAAACUUCUGACAGCAUAAAAAGACAGAUGUCUCCUAGAUAGUGCAUAAUUCUUCUUUGGUUUAUUUUGGCGUAAAUGGAGAAUAACCAUUCAAGACAAGAAAAACAACUCAAUGGAUGCCCAUAGCCAUGAACAAACAAAUACAAGGUCCUUGGAGUUCUGUUGUGCUCACAGAAAACAGAUGCAGAUAUAAUUAAACUAUGGAGGGUCUCAAGACAGACUUGAAAGCCUUCCCAAAGAGAGGUAAUAAAGAGAACAUUGAUACAAGAACUUGUUAAGACAAAUGAGUUUCAAGACAGUGAUCUAUGUUGGUGAAUUUACGUAAAGGAUCUUGCAGUCACUCCAACCCCAACACUGCCUGACAGCAGAUGUCUUUAUGAAGGAAGUUAUAGAGAAGAGUGACUGCGACAUUGGCCUCUCCUGCUGAAGGCUAGGUUUAUUACUCAAAAUAAAGCAAAAAGAAUAAAUUACUAGA